GAUGAACGCUGGCGGCGUGCCUAAUACAUGCAAGUCGAGCGAACAGACGAGGAGCUUGCUCCUCUGACGUUAGCGGCGGACGGGUGAGUAACACGUGGAUAACCUACCUAUAAGACUGGGAUAACUUCGGGAAACCGGAGCUAAUACCGGAUAAUAUAUUGAACCGCAUGGUUCAAUAGUGAAAGACGGUUUUGCUGCCACUUAUAGAUGGAUCCGCGCCGCAUUAGCUAGUUGGUAAGGUAACGGCUUACCAAGGCAACGAUGCGUAGCCGACCUGAGAGGGUGAUCGGCCACACUGGAACUGAGACGCGGUCCAGACUCCUACGGGAGGCAGCAGUAGGGAAUCUUCCGCAAUGGGCGAAAGCCUGACGGAGCAACGCCGCGUGAGUGAUGAAGGUCUUCGGAUCGUAAAACUCUGUUAUUAGGGAAGAACAAAUGUGUAAGUAACUAUGCACGUCUUGACGGUACCUAAUCAGAAAGCCACGGCUAACUACGUG
rnacentral:rRNA from 1 species